AAACGACUCUCGGCAACGGAUAUCUCGGCUCACGCAUCGAUGAAGAACGUAGCAAAAUGCGAUACUUGGUGUGAAUUGCAGAAUCCCGUGAACCAUCGAGUUUUUGAACGCAAGUUGCGCCCGAAGCCAUCCGGUUAAGGGCACGUCUGCCUGGGCGUCACGC
rnacentral:rRNA from 1 species